UACGUAGGGUGCGAGCGUUGUCCGGAAUUAUUGGGCGUAAAGAGCUCGUAGGCGGUGUGUCACGUCGGCCGUGAAAACCUGCAGCUUAACUGUGGGCGUGCGGUCGAUACGGGGCAUCACUGGAGUUCGGCAGGGGAGACUGGAAUUCCUGGUGUAGCGGUGAAAUGCGCAGAUAUCAGGAGGAACACCGGUGGCGAAGGCGGGUCUCUGGGCCGAUACUGACGCUGGAGGAGCGAAAGCGUGGGGAGCAAACAGG
rnacentral:rRNA from 1 species